rnacentral:tRNA from 1 species
GGCGCCAUGGCUUAAUGGUAAAGCACCUGUGUACUGAACAGGAGCUCAUGGGUUCGCUCCCCAGUGGUGCUG